rnacentral:rRNA from 1 species
CAAUAGUUGGGGGUCUUAUUUGGCGGCGGCUGCUGGCUUAAUUGUUGGCGGCUGCUGCUGAGUGAGCCCUAUCAAAAAAAAGGCGAACGUUUGGGCUUCGGCCUGAUUUAGUAGUCUUUUUUUCUUUUAAACCCAUUCCUUAAUACUGAAUAUACUGUGGGGACGAAAGUCUCUGCUUUUAACUAGAUAGCAACUUUCAGCAGUGGAUGUCUAGGCUCGCACAUCGAUGAAGAACGCUGCGAACUGCGAUACGUAAUGCGAAUUGCAGGAUUCAGUGAGUCAUCGAAAUUUUGAACGCAUAUUGCACUUCCGGGUUAGUCCUGGAAGUAUGCCUGUAUCAGUGUCCGUACAUUAAACUUGACUUUCUUCCUUCCGUGUAGUCGGUGGAGGAGAUGUCAGAUGUGAAGUGUCUUGCGAUUGGUCUUCGGACCGGCUGCGAGUCCUUUUAAAUGUACUAAACUGAACUUCUCUUUGCUCGAAAAGUGGUGGCGUUGCUGGUUGUGAAGGCUGCUAUUGUGGCAAAUUGGCGACUGGUUUGUCUGCUGCGGCGUUAAUGGAAGAGUGUUCGAUUCGUGGUAUGGUUGGCUUCGGCUGAACAAUGCACUUAUUGGACGUUUUUCCUGCUGUGGCGUGAUGGACUGGUGAACCAUAGCUCGGUGGCUUGGCUUUUGAAUUGGCUUUGCUGUUGCGAAGUAGGGUGGCAGCUUCGGUUGUCGAGGGUCGAUCCAUUUGGGAACUUAAUGUGUACUUCGGUAUGCAUCUCAAUUGGACCUGAUAUCA